rnacentral:rRNA from 1 species
GAUCCUGGCUCAGAUUGAACGCUGGCGGCAGGCCUAAUACAUGCAAGUCGAACGGUAACAUAGGAAAAGCUUGCUUUCCUGAUGACGAGUGGCGGACGGGUGAGUAAAGUUGGGAAGCUACCUGAUAGAGGGGGACAACAGUUGGAAACGACUGCUAAUACCGCAUACAGCCUGAGGGUGAAAGCAGCAAUGCGCUAUCAGAUGCGCCCAAAUGGGAUUAGCUAGUAGGUGAGGUAAAGGCUCACCUAGGCGACGAUCUCUAGCUGGUCUGAGAGGAUGAUCAGCCACAUUGGGACUGAGACACGGCCCAGACUCCUACGGGAGGCAGCAGUAGGGAAUAUUGCACAAUGGAGGAAACUCUGAUGCCAGCCAUGCCGCGUGUGUGAAGAAGGCCUUCGGGUUGUAAAGCACUUUCGGAGGGGAGGAGAAUGACGUUACCCUCAGAAGAAGCACCGGCUAACUCCGUGCCAGCAGCUGC